ACAGAGUACCUUCAAAAUAGCUAGGCCUGCAGAAAGAAGAAAAUCGAUCAGAAACUUUAGUUUUAUUCUUCAGACAACCUUGCCAGUGAUGGCAAAUUAUGAUCACCUAUUUGCUGAUGUGCACGACCUGAAGUCGUAGAUUUUGUUGAAUGGUUCCAUAGACAGAUUAUAAUAAGCUCACCGCUGUGUCUGACACCAUCGUGGAUUAGAAGAUGUAUCCAACUAGCACGAUUUCUCCAAUUGUCUAAUUUGGCUUCAUGUCAUUCCAGGAUUCCAGCAAAGUUAGGAUGCGUACCACAGCUAGAAACAAUAGGUAAUACAGCUAGCUUUUGAGAUAAAAUUAUAUCACUGUCCAUGGGCAAUCGCUGCCUACCACACCUUGCCUCUAGCAUUUCUUUUGAUAACAAACUGCAAUUAUGGUUACCUUUAUUGUUUGCCACUCAGUAGUCGGCACCAUAUGCU
rnacentral:lncRNA from 1 species